rnacentral:tRNA from 1 species
CGGGUUGUGGUGUAAUGGUAGCACGAGUCUAUGGGGUAGAUUUAGCCCGGGUUCGAUUCCCGGCAGCCCGACCA